GACAGAGGGUGCAAACGUUGUUCGGAAUUACUGGGCGUAAAGCGCACGUAGGCGGCUUUGUAAGUUAGAGGUGAAAGCCCGGGGCUCAACUCCGGAAUUGCCUUUAAGACUGCAUCGCUAGAAUUGUGGAGAGGUAAGUGGAAUUCCGAGUGUAGAGGUGAAAUUCGUAGAUAUUCGGAAGAACACCAGUGGCGAAGGCGACUUACUGGUCCGGUACUGACGCUGAGGUGCGAAAGCGUGGGGAGCAAACAGG
rnacentral:rRNA from 1 species